CUGGCCUGGCAGGUCGAGCGUAUCAAUGAGUGUGGUGGGGAAGCUUGUUACCAGUAAACUUUUGUGUUGUAGCCUGUGAUUCAAGGCACACACCGGUGAGAUGGUGAAAAAACUAUUCUGCAGGCUUUUGCUUUUAGGUCUCUUAUAUUUCUCAGUGUAUUUCUGGUACUCAAAUGUUACUGAAUCGAGUAUGAAUGCUUUGCUGUCCAGUUUGAAGGAUAACCAAAGUGAAGAUGGAUUUAAAAAAUCAGGAGUCUAUUAUAGAGUUAUGCGCUUGCAGUCAGACUUCCGGAAAGAACAAAUAAUGAAAGAAAAUAGAACUACAGAGACCAAAAACAACUAGACCCCCCUUGUGACCGAGGAAUUCACGAAAUGCCCAGGUCACUCUCCACUUCUUGUUGGGCCUCUAAGGGUUGAGUUCUCUACGCCUGUCAGCUUGGACACAGUGAGGAAGGAGAACCCAGGUCUGCAGGAAGGAGGUCGCUACAAACCACAUGACUGCGUCGCCCUCCAGAAGGUUGCUCUCAACAUCCCCUUCCGCCAUCGUGAAGAGCACCUCAAGUUCUGGCUCCACUACCUCCAUCCUGUCUUACAGCGCCAACAGCUGGACUAUGGUGUCUAUGUUAUCAAUCAAGCACAGUACAACACACAUUUGGAAAUGAUGGAGAGAACAUGUUCAACAGGGCCAAGCUGAAAGGGCCCUGAAAGAGUAUGACUACGACUGCUUUGUGUUCAGUGACGUGGACAUCAUCCCCAUGGAUGACCGCAACCCCUACAAAUGCUUCAGCCAGCCCAGACACCUGUCUGUAUGUAUGACUUCAAUUUACCCUAUAAUCAGUACUUUGGCGGUGUCCCAUCGAUGAGUAAAGAGCUGCAUCGUGAAAAUCAACGGCUUUCCGAGCAGCUACUGGAGCUGGGGUGGUGAAGAUGAUUACAUUUUCAACAGGGUGAAUAACAGAGGAAUGUCCAUCUCUCGUCUGGACGGCGUAGUCGGAAAAUGCCGGAUGAUCCAUCACGAAAGAGACAAAAAUAACAACGACAAUCCUCAGAGGUUCAAGAGAAUAGCUCAUAUGUUAAAGACGAUGGAUACCGAUGGCCUCAACUCUCUCGAGUACGAAGUUGUCGCAUUUGAAAAGCAUGACCUGUUCACAAAGAUUACAGUAGAUGUGGGGAUGCCACCCAAAGAUAAAGAAGACAUGGACAAAGGAUGAAUGAGGAAGAGAUUAACUAGCAGGGCCGGAUUUUGGGCCCCGGGGCAAAACAGCGAAUUUCCUGAAAUUAAACACUAUUCACACAGAGAACAGGAGAUGAUUGUGGACUACAGGAAAAGGAGGACCGAGUACGCCCCAUUCUCAUCGACGGGGCUGUAGUGGAGCAGGUUGAGAGCUUCAAGUUC